AUUGCUUCUCAGCCUUUGGCUAAGAUCAAGUGUAGUAUCUGUUCCUAUCAGUUUAAUAGUGCUGCAGUGAACAUAGGGGUACAUGUAUCUUUUAGUGUUUUGGGGGGUUUUUUUGGAUAAAUUUCAGAAGUGGAAUUUACUGGGUCAUGUGAUAGUUCUACUUUAAUUUUUUGAGGAACCUCUAUACUGUUUUCCACAAUGGCUCUACCAGUU
rnacentral:snRNA from 1 species